AUUUUCCAAAAUUUCCGUCAAAAGUGGUGAUUGAAAUUCGAAGCAAGGAACACGGAUUAAACGAGAUUGCCACGGUUCAUUGUUUCCCUUAAUUUCGCUGGCCUAGGGCUCCGAGUUUCGACGCGUUAAUCGGCAAUUUCGCGGGCCGGAAAAAUCUUGACGAUGUUACGGUGAACUAAUAACGUAAAUACAGGUCGGAUAUAUUCGAGGUAGGUAAAGUAAAGCCGCUUCAGUGUGGCGAACAGUUAAUGGGAGACCACCCGUAGCCAUACUCCUAAUACCGACGCGAUUAAAUGCAGACAGGAUAUUAAAGCACGCUCUAUACACCCGCGCUGGUCAUAACACAUUUUGACAAUGCAUCGUCCGGGCAAUAAAGUAAAAUCGUAAACCUCUUGCCACUCUCAUCCGCGACUGGGAGCUUUCAAUAUCGUCCUACGAACGGAACGCGAUACCCUGAUGACUUAUUUAUAAUAAUUAACCUAUGGACCAAAAAAUCACAAUUUUCACGAUAGGUGAACGGACACCUUUUCAACGAGAGAAUCGCUAGUGCCAUCCCGUCAGAGAGAUAGGACACGGUGUUUCGCGCGGAGUGCAGGAUCGACGCGGCAAAACGCCUUUUAAUCUUGUUUCUUCGAGCGUCAGGCAUUUUUCUGAGAAGACACGGGGAGGGAAGCCGUCUAUUUUCGCCCUCGGAGACGAGGAUACUAAACGUUAAACGGUGACAAACGCCACGAGGAAGAUAGGCUCGCGCGACGCAACUCGAACGGAUGCUUGUACCAUUAACCGCAGACCACGGAUUGGGAUAGAUCCGAGGACUAAUGGAGUCGUUCGGCUGUAAGCGACUCGGCAGAAGAAGGAGAAAAAAAAAAA